AAGAAUGCGAUAUGCAAUGUGAAUUGCAGAACCAUGAAUCAUCGGAUCUUUGAACGCAACUGGCGCUGGUAUAACCAGCAUACUUGUUUCAGUGUGCCCAAACACAUAACAAUAAAAAUGUGAGAGAAAAUCUCUCAUGAAAUGCAUGCUCUCUGCAGCUGUCACAUUCAUAUGUGAGCUGAAGUGAGAAACCUGCCUUAUUCGCACCUGAAAUCAAGUAAGAUGACCCGCUGGACUUAA
rnacentral:misc_RNA from 1 species